GCCCCUAUAGCUCAGUGGUAGAGCGUUCCACUCGUACCACACGGUCACAGCGUGAUCUAGUGAAAUUCAAAUGGAGAGGUCCAUCGUUCAAUCCGGUGUGGGGGCA